rnacentral:rRNA from 1 species
CCUACGGGUGACAGCAGUAGGGAAUGUUCGGCAAUGGGGGGAACCCUGACCGAGCAACGCCGCGUGAAGGAAGAAGGUAUUCGUAAUGUAAAGUUCUUUUAACAGGGAAGAAAGAGAAAUUGGACGGUACCUGAAGAAUAAGCUCCGGCUAACGACGUGCCAGCAGCCGCGGUAAUACGUAGGGAGCGAGCGUUAUCCGGAAGUAUUGGGCGGAAAGGGUGCGGAGAUGGCAUAGUAAGUCUUAUGUAAAAAUGCUGGGCUCAACCCAGUAGGGCAAAAGAUACUGCAAAGCUAGAGUAUGCCAGAGGCAAGUGGAACUACCUGUGUAGCGGU